GCUGUUAUUUAAUAUUUGAUUGUCUAUUGUUACAUCUCUGCUAUCAUUCAACAAUGUUCUGCCACCAUCCUGAACCAAUAAUCUUGUGGGUUCAACCACAUUAACCACCAACCGCGGGUCGUUCACUAAUAUGCGAGAUUCAUCCGACAUCAUUGGUCGAAUUUCUGCUAAAAGAUGCGCGGUGUCUGCCAACAGUCUUGAUGCUGUUGUAUCUGGCUGGAGUAUCCUCAUUGAGUCGUUUUGGAGCAUUCGAGCGUCUAUAAAAUAUAGUGUGUUUUAGACACAUUUUACUUUAUAUGUAUGAGACGGAGGAUUUAGCCUAAUGCAAAAAUGCAUGCUGAAUUUAUUGUAAGAUGGAUUAACAAUGGAAACUCAACGUUCGCGACAAAUUAGGUAUACAAGACAAACCGAUGGUGGAACGGAUUUUGAUUGAUAAAUAGAGACAAUAAAUGACCCAUAAAAAAACCA